rnacentral:rRNA from 1 species
AAUCAACGCUGGCGGCGCGCUUAACACAUGCAAGUCGCACGAGAAAGUGGAGCAAUCCAUGAGUACAGUGGCGUACGGGUGAGUAACACGUGGGUAAUCUACCUCUUAGUGGGGAAUAACCCUGGGAAACCGGGGCUAAUACCGCAUAAUCUCGAGAGAGGAAAGCAGCAAUGCGCUGAGAGAGGAGCCCGCGGCCGAUUAGCUUGUUGGCAGGGUAAAAGCCUACCAAGGCAUAGAUCGGUAGCCGGCCUGAGAGGGCACACGGCCACACUGGCAC